rnacentral:piRNA from 1 species
UGCUGUCGGUUUGGCCAGAUGGAAGA